GACGAACGCUGGCGGCGUGCUUAACACAUGCAAGUCGAGCGGUAAGGCCCUUUCGGGGGUACGACGAGCGGCGAACGGGUGAGUAACACGUGGGUGACCUGCCCUCAGCUCUGGGAUAAGCCUGGGAAACCGGGUCUAAUACUGGAUAUGACUCCAUGACGCAUGUUGUGGGGUGGAAAGCCUUGUGCGGCUGAGGAUGGGCCCGCGGCCUAUCAGCUUGUUGGUGGGGUGANGGCCUACCAAGGCGACGACGGGUAGCCGGCCUGAGAGGGCGACCGGCCACACUGGGACUGAGACACGG
rnacentral:rRNA from 1 species